rnacentral:tRNA from 1 species
GCGCCCUUAGCUCAGUCGGUAGAGCAUCUGACUUUUAAUUAGGUGGUCGUGCGUUCAAGUCGCACAGGGCGCACCA